GGACAACCUGCCCUCGGGAGGGGGAUAACCCCGGGAAACUGGGGCUAAACCCCCAUAGGAGAUGGAUACUGGAAUGUUCCAUCUCCGAAAGUCCGCAAGGAGCCCGAGGAUGGGUCUGCGGCGGAUUAGGUAGUUGGUGGGGUAACGGCCUACCAAGCCUAAGAUCCGUACGGGCCAUGGGAGUGGGAGCCCGGAGAUGGACCCUGAGACAAGGGUCCAGGCCCUACGGGGCGCAGCAGUCGCGAAACCUCCGCAAUGCGGGAAACCGCGACGGGGGGACCCCGAGUGCCGUGGCAACGCCACGGCUUUUCCGGAGUGUAAAAAGCUCCGGGAAUAAGGGCUGGGCAAGGCCGGUGGCAGCCGCCGCGGUAAUACCGGCGGCCCGAGUGGUGGCCGCUAUUAUUGGGCCUAAAGCGUCCGUAGCCGGGCCCGUAAGUCCCUGGCGAAAUCCCACGGCUCAACCGUGGGGCUUGCUGGGGAUACUGCGGGUCUUGGGACCGGGAGAGGCGGGGGGUACCCCUGGGGUAGGGGUGAAAUCCUAUAAUCCCAGGGGGACCGCCAGUGGCGAAGGCGCCCCGCUGGAACGGGUCCGACGGUGAGGGACGAAGGCCAGGGGAGCAAACCGGAUUAGAUACCCGGGUAGUCCUGGCUGUAAAGGAUGCGGGCUAGGUGUCGGGUGAGCCUCGAGCUCGCCCGGUGCCGUAGGGAAGCCGUU
rnacentral:rRNA from 1 species